UGGGCGAAAGCCUGAUCCAGCCAUGCCGCGUGUGUGAAGAAGGUCUUCGGAUUGUAAAGCACUUUAAGUUGGGAGGAAGGGCAGUAAGUUAACACCUUGCUGUUUUGACGUUACCAACAGAAUAAGCACCGGCUAACUUCGUG
rnacentral:rRNA from 1 species